rnacentral:rRNA from 1 species
UACAGAGGGUGCAAGCGUUGUUCGGAAUUAUUGGGCGUAAAGAGCUCGUAGGCGGCUUGGCAAGUCGGGUGUGAAACCUCCAGCUCAACCUGGAGACGCCACUCGAUACUGCCAUGGCUAGAGUCCGGUAGGGGACCACGGAAUUCCUGGUGUAGCGGUGAAAUGCGCAGAUAUCAGGAGGAACACCGGUGGCGAAGGCGGUGGUCUGGGGCCGGCACUGACGCUGAGGAGCGAAAAGCGUGGGGUAGCAAAACAGG